rnacentral:lncRNA from 1 species
CUAAUUGAGGAGUCUCUAGCUGCUUGCUCACACCUGCUUUUACUCUGUGAGUUGUACUUUUGCUUCUUCAAUAAAUCUGUGCCUUUGUUACUCCGUUCUUUUGUUGUUUUGCUUGUGCGUUUUGUUUAAUUCUUUGUUUGAAACCCCAAGAACCUGGACAACUCACAGUCAAGACCUUCCGUCCGGUAACAAAGCAACAGACCUCAGUCAUGUCAUCUGCUUACAAAGGAGCCACGAAUCAAGACCGAUUCCGUGUGCUCUUGACGAUUCUGUUACACUCCUGCAGGUUUCCAUUCCUGUGUUAUGUUCAGAGAAUGCACUGUAUUUGCAUUUGAAAUGUGCCUACUUUGACAGUUCCUAGCAAUUGGUCAGUAGGAGGCUGGAGCUUGAAAAAUGCGUAGGAGGAAGGUGAAAUAGAAUGGGAUGGCUGCAAAGAGGAAGAGGGAGUGGGAAUCCCAAGCAAUUUUCAGUUUUGCUACCACUAAGAUUCUUUUUUUGUUUGUUUGUUUUUUGUUUUUUGAGACGAAGUCUUGCUCUUGUCC